CAGCCGCCGCGGUAACACCGAGGGUGCGAGCGUUAAUCGGAUUUACUGGGCGUAAAGCGUGCGUAGGCGGCUAAUUGAGUCGGAUGUGAAAUCCCCGAGCUUAACUUGGGAAUUGCAUUCGAUACUGGUUAGCUAGAGUGUGGGAGAGGAUGGUAGAAUUCCAGGUGUAGCGGUGAAAUGCGUAGAGAUCUGGAGGAAUACCGAUGGCGAAGGCAGCCAUCUGGCCUAACACUGACGCUGAGGUACGAAAGCAUGGGGAGCAAACAGGAUUAGAUACCCCGGUAGUCCCUGUCUCUUAUAC
rnacentral:rRNA from 1 species